CAGAUGCCAACUGCGAGUACCCCUCUCCCCUCUCUGGAGCCACUAAUCAGAUGUAAAAUCCUUGGCCUGCUACUCUGCCUCUCUGAAUUUCACUUUUCUCAGCUAUAAAAUGAAGAUAAUACUGCCAGCUGCUGACAAAGAUGUUGAAGCUUAACCUCCAGUACCUCAGAAUGUGACAGUGUUUGGAGAUAAGGUCUCUAAAGAGGUAAAGUUAAUACGAGGCCAUUAAGAUGGGCUCUAAUCUAAUCUGACUGGUGUCCUAUCAAGAAGAGGACAAGGACAUAGAGAGAGAGACACCAGGGAUGCACACGCACAGAGAAAAGGCCAUGUCAAGAGAGCAAGAAGACAGCCAUCUGGAAGCGAAGGGAAAGGCCUCAGGAGAAACCAAACAAUCUAACACCUUGAUCUUGGCCUUCCAGCCUCCAGAACUGUGAGAAAAUUAAUUUCUGUUGUUUAAGCCACCAGAAUUUUGUUAGGG
rnacentral:lncRNA from 1 species